CCCUGGCAACUUUGAGGUUCUAACUCAGGUCCGUUAUCCGGAUCGAGGACAGUGUAUGGUGGGUAGUUUGACUGGGGCGGUCUCCUCCUAAAGAGUAACGGAGGAGUACGAAGGUGCGCUCAGACCGGUCGGAAAUCGGUCGUAGAGUAUAAAGGCAAAAGCGCGCUUGACUGCGAGACAGACACGUCGAGCAGGAACGAAAGUAGGUCUUAGUGAUCCGGUGGGUCUGUAUGGAAGGGCCAUCGCUCAACGGAUAAAAGGUACUCCGGGGAUAACAGGCUGAUACCGCCCAAGAGUUCAUAUCGACGGCGGUGUUUGGCACCUCGAUGUCGGCUCAUCACAUCCUGGGGCUGAAGCCGGUCCCAAGGGUAUGGCUGUUCGCCAUUUAAAGUGGUACGCGAGCUGGGUUUAGAACGUCGUGAGACAGUUCGGUCCCUAUCUGCCGUGGACGUUUGAGAUUUGAGAGGGGCUGCUCCUAGUACGAGAGGACCGGAG
rnacentral:rRNA from 1 species